rnacentral:misc_RNA from 1 species
GAAAUGCGAUAAGUAAUGUGAAUUGCAGAAUUCAGUGAAUCAUCGAAUCUUUGAACGCACCUUGCGCUCUUUGGUAUUCCGAAGAGCAUGCCUGUUUGAGUGUCAUGAAAAUAUCAACCUUGACUUGGGUUUAGUGCUCUUGUCUUGGCUUGGAUUUGGCUGUUUGCCGCUCGAAAGAGUCGGCUCAGCUUAAAAGUAUUAGCUGGAUCUGUCUUUGAGACUUGGUUUGACUUGGCGUAAUAAGUUAUUUCGCUGAGGACAAUCUUCGGAUUGGCCGAGUUUCUGGACGUUUGUCCGCUUUCUAAUACAAGUUCUAGCUUGCUAGACAUGACUUUUUAUUAUCUGGCCUCAAAUCAGGUAGGACUACCCGCUGAACUUAA